GCGCCUUCAUACAACAUGCCUCGCUGCCCUCUUCCCCGACGGCCUUUUCCUCGCCGCUUGCACGCCCCCUGCUGUCUGCGGCACCGUCGUUUGCCCACGCCCCAGCGAAUCCACUCUCCGCGUCAUUCGCGAAUGCAUCCACCGAUUCUAUUAGGAAAUCCAAACCCUCGAUCGCCAUGGCCAGAUUUGGGAGAAGAGAGACUCGCAUUCGUAUAUUUCCCGGUCGAGGAGUGGCUCUCUCCGCGGCGGACGUCCAGACCGUGUACCCGAUCCUCUCCAAUGUUUUGAGCCUCGAUGAGUCCGCCCUCGCCCAGAUCGAGAACCGCCCGGAAUUCUGCUCCUGCCUUCUUGAGAUCGUCACGGCGAGGGAUUCGGGUCGCCGGGAUGAUGUUCGCCUCCUGGCCUCCGUGUAUUUCUAGAACAGUAUCGGUCCGCUCCUGGAGGCCUCGCCGUGAUAUCCUGACAGCUGUCCCACUCGAAGCAUGGAACUUUCCAUGGUUUGACUGCUCUACCAAAAGCCAAGAUUGCCAAUAAAAAUUGUGGCGAUUAUAUUGAUGACGUGCAAAGAAAGCAACUUAAAAGGAAAGGAGAAAAAAGGUAAGAUAUAAAAUAACCGAAAAUAUGACUCCUGCCAAUUUUCUUGUCAUAAUGGAUUGAAUAGAUUUUGGUCUAUGCCUGAUGUACCUAUUUAUAAUUGCAUAAGGUAGGUGUAGUUCAGUCGAACGCUUUUGAUAAUGGUGCAGAAGAAAAAAAACCAGAGAAAUCUUCUGCAGCAUCUGCAUCUUUCCUUUCUCAUAAGCAUACAUUUUUUUUUAUGAAUACUUCUAUGUAGUCCCUUAAGAUGUCCAUUGUAAUGUUGUUCAUGAUAGGGGGAAUGAUAAAGAAUAAAUAUUGAAUAUUGUACUUUUUACUCGUUGAACUUGGACCCAAGAAUUUAAAUACCGGAUGGACCCUUACAUAUUGAUUGGUGUUUUAUCGGUUUUACCAAGUACUAGAAUAGAAGCUUAUAGCUUGACACUGGCUUUAAAUUAUUGUUAUUAUUUUAUUCAAUGACAAUGGAGGGUAUUAUUUGGUAUACUGCUUGGUGUCUGGUAUUGUACCGGUCUCAUAGAUUACUGAAACCCGUACGAACAAGUACUUAAAUCCAUGGCAGGACUAUCAACUUAGUAUAAGAAAGGAACCAACAAAUUCAAUGAUACGUCACACUGACUGUGCUGCACCGAGCAAGGUAAUUCUCUUGAAAGGAACAUCUUGAAAGAAUGUUUAAUAUUCUUGUUAUUAUUUCUUUCAUACACCGAAUUCUUCAUUGGCCUUGCAUUCAUUUCUUUCUCAUAUAUAUUUCAGAUCCUACCUGAUUCUCCAAGUUUGACUUAUUAAAGCUUUGUAUGGUGAUUACGUUGAAUUUAUCAAAUUCUGAUAGAAUUAAGCUUUUCAACUCAUGCAAACCUAGAUUUUGCAUCUUAUUGCAUCAGUCAUAUUAUACACUGAACAUAAUCAAAGUGGUGCUUUAUACUAAUUAUUAUUACUGCUGUUUGCAGAACAUGAUCACCUAUUUUGUAGUUCUUCACUAUUAAUUUACUAUGCUUAAAUGAAUAUGGACAUAUUUAUUAAUUAUUAGUCAAUCAAUUUCAUUCGAUCUGUAGUGCUUUUUUGUGGAGGCCCCUCCACUGAUUACUGGAGUUCUUCAGGUACUUGAGCGUUCUAUUGGAUUGACAAAGCUUGCAUGGGCAUUAUACUUGGCACAUUUUCUCAUACUUCUGAUAACUGGGCCCUGCUUUCUAGAAACUCAUCCUAACUGGGCCCUGAUCAUAAUCCUUCCGUGACACCAGUGUGUGCUUCUUCUGCCACCAUUCUUGACAGGGUGUUGGUGAUGAAUACCAACUAUUUUGCUCAAUUAGCAUCUGAACCAUCUCUUGCUAUGGCCCUUCAGCAGGCAGGACUUUCCAUCAGCCAGAAAGUAAUUCUUUGUUUGGCUCAUAUAUGGGUUGAUAAGGUAUUUUGUAAAGGGUGUAGCUUGUUGACUUUUCGUCCCACAUUGCUCUGGAUCCAUCCAACUUUACAGACCUUUCGAAAAUAACAAUCACUGGAAGUACUUCAAACUCGCAGCCGGAUGUCCAUCUUGAAUGAAUGAAUGUUCAACUCCAGUUCAUUUGGCUGAAGGGAAUGUGUCCCUGAGAAGCAGGUAACACUUUUAGAUACCCUGCUACAUGGUGAUUAUUCAUAUUUGCACAUUUCCGUCAGUGGCUGUGUGGAACUUGGAAUGGGAAUUCAAAGAAAUAUAACUCGUCAUGGAAAAUAAUCUUUCUUGCGUGGGUAAAUUACCAAUUGUUUUU